rnacentral:rRNA from 1 species
UGGGGAAUAUUGCACAAUGGGCGAAAGCCUGAUGCAGCAACGCCGCGUGAGGGACGACGGCCUUCGGGUUGUAAACCUCUUUUAGCAAGGAAGAAGCGAAAGUGACGGUACUUGCAGAAAAAGCGCCGGCUAACUACGUGCCAGCAGCCGCGGUAAUACGUAGGGCGCAAGCGUUAUCCGGAAUUAUUGGGCGUAAAAAGCUCGUAGGCGGUUUGUCGCGUCUGCUGUGAAAACCCGAGGCUCAACCUCGGGCCUGCAGUGGGUACGGGCAGACUAGAGUGCGGUAGGGGAGAUUGGAACUCCUGGUGUAGCGGUGGAAUGCGCAGAUAUCAGGAAGAACACCGAUGGCGAAGGCAGAUCUCUGGGCCGUAACUGACGCUGAGGAGCGAAAGGGUGGGGAGCAAACAGGCUUAGAUACCCUGGUAGUCCACCCCGUAAACGUUGGGAACUAGUUGUGGGGUCCAUUCCACGGAUUCCGUGACGCAGCUAACGCAUUAAGUUCCCCGCCUGGGGAGUACGGCCGCAAGGCUAAAACU